GACUUCGGAAAGGUUGUCAGUGUAUGCCGAGAAGGAGCCCCCGUGUACCAGGUACCUGGAGAAAGGCAGUGCCCUCCUCACAUAAUGCCCACUGCUAAAGCUGCACAGGCAUUACUCUAGGCUUGGACGUGUCCACCAAAAACUCAGGCCUGGCCUCUCCCAGCAGCGUCUCUGAAACCUAUCACAAUAUGAAGAGAAACAUUCAACUCCUGUCUUCUCCGUGAGGACAACCCUAAUAAUAUCCACCAUCUAUUUGUCAAUGGAGGAAUGAAGGUCAACAAAGCCAAGUGAUUACCUCCAAGGUCACACCAGUGUGAGGACCCCGUCCCCAGCCACACACUGUUAAAGCAAAUAGCUAGGGACCACAGUAUUUGAAGACUCAAAGUGAUAUCUGUUAUUUCAAAUUCAUUAGCUUCCCCUUUCAAAAUUAAUUUCUCAAAAUUGCAUUUGUCUCAUGUAAGAAGUAAAGGCAUCUCCUCUUCUAUUUCCCAAAAUAAAAGCCACACGUGGAAAUCCGUGUGUGUGUGUGUAUCUGAGAACAACAUGUCAGAGAAAUCAAUAUUAAUUAGAGUGAAUGAUUGCUACCAUGUGUGGUUAUGGUUUUUGAGAUAGUGUUGUUAAUCCUCACAAUGGGUUUUCGAAUUUCACACAUAAGGAUUCAAGGUUUGAA